GGAUGUGAGGGUGAUUGGGCUGCAACAUCUGUCACCCCACUGAUCGCCAGGGUUGAAUUGGCUCAUCUGGCUGGCUAGGUAGGUUUCCCCUUCCUCCCUCACCGCUCUAUGUGCACAAAUCAAUCAAUGUAAUUCAUCAUAUCAA
rnacentral:snRNA from 1 species